AGUUGUUGCAGUUAAAAAGCUCGUAGUUGAAUUUCGGGGUUAGUAGGUUGGUCAUGCCUCUGGUAUGUACUGGUCUCACUGAUUCCUCCUUCCUUAUGAACCGUAAUGCCAUUAAUUUGGUGUUGCGGGGAAUUUGGACUGUUACUUUGAAAAAAUUAGAGUGUUUAAAGCAAGCUAACGCUUGAAUACAUUAGCAUGGAAUAAUGAAAUAGGACGUUCGAUCUUAUUUUGUUGGUUUCUAGGAUUGACGUAAUGAUUAAUAGGGAUAGUUGGGGGCAUUAGUAUUCAAUUGUCAGAGGUGAAAUUCUUGGAUUUAUUGAAGACUAACUACUGCGAAAGCAUUUGCCAAGGAUGUUUUCAUUAAUCAAGAACGAAAGUUAGGGGAUCGAAGACGAUCAGAUACCGUCGUAGUCUUAACCAUAAACUAUGCCGACUAGGGAUCGGAUGAUGUGUAGAUUUUUUAAUGACUCAUUCGGCGCCUACCCGGGGAAACA
rnacentral:rRNA from 1 species